GAACGCUAGCGACAGGCUAACACAUGCAAGUCGAGGGGUAACAGUGUAGCAAUACCGCUGACGACCGGCGCACGGUGAGUAACGCGUAUGCAACCUGCCUAGUAACUGGGGAAUAGCUCCCUGAAAGGGGAAUUAACACCGCAUAACACUAUUGAUUCGCAUGGAUUAGUAGUUAAAUGUAGCGAUACAGGUUACAGAUGGGCAUGCGUGACAUUAGCUAGUUGGUGAGGUAACGGCUCACCAAGGCUACGAUGUCUAGGGGUUCUGAGAGGAAGGUCCCCCCACACUGGUACUGAGACACGGACCAGACUCCUACGGGAGGCAGCAGUGAGGAAUAUUGGUCAAUGGGCGCAAGCCUGAACCAGCCAUGUCGCGUGCAGGAAGAACCUGCCCUAUGGGUUGUAAACUGCUUUUAUAGUAGAAGAAACACAUCUACGCGUAGAUGUCUGCCAGUAUACUAUGAAUAAGCAUCGGCUAACUCCGUGCCAGCCGCGGC
rnacentral:rRNA from 1 species